AUUGAACGCUGGCGGCAUGCUUUACACAUGCAAGUCGAACGGUAACAGGCCGCAAGGUGCUGACGAGCGGCGAACGGGUGAGUAAUGCAUCGGAACGUGCCCAGUCGUGGGGGAUAACGCAGCGAAAGCUGCGCUAAUACCGCAUACGAUCUGUGGAUGAAAGCGGGGGACCGAAAGGCCUCGCGCGAUUGGAGCGGCCGAUGUCAGAUUAGGUAGUUGGUGGGGUAAAGGCCCACCAAGCCAACGAUCUGUAGCUGGUCUGAGAGGACGACCAGCCACACUGGGACUGAGACACGGCCCAGACUCCUACGGGAGGCAGCAGUGGGGAAUUUUGGACAAUGGGCGCAAGCCUGAUCCAGCAAUGCCGCGUGCAGGAAGAAGGCCUUCGGGUUGUAAACUGCUUUUGUACGGAACGAAACGGUCCGGGUUAAUACCCUGGGCUAAUGACGGUACCGUAAGAAUAAGCACCGGCUAACUACGUGCCAGCAGCCGCCGUAAUAC
rnacentral:rRNA from 1 species